rnacentral:tRNA from 1 species
CGCAGGGUAGAGCAGUUGGCAGCUCAUCGGGCUCAUAACCCAGGGGUCGUAGGUUCGAGUCCUACCCCUGCUA